UCGCUGUCCUUUUCAACCUUCUGUUUCUUAGAAGAUGAAACUUUGGACUUCUCCUUUGAGUCAGAUUCAGUAGCAACUUUCUUAGAUCCUGAACUCACAGUUUUUUUGGCACUUUUACCAGAGGUUUUGGGAGAUUUGGCUGGGCUCUCUUUCUUCACUGCCUUAGACUUCUCCCUGUUAUUACCACCAGAUUCCUUCUUCACACUCUUCUUAGAAGCACUUUUCUCACUUGGCUUCUGCUUGGGUUCCUCAUGAUCUUCUUCAACAUCUUCAUCUGACUUGCUCUGCUCAUUAUCACUUUCUGCUUUGACAACUGCAUCACUAUCCUCAUCCCCCAAAGAUUCUUGUUUGCUGUCAGAAUGCUCAAACGCAUCAUCUUCUUCAUCCUCAGUUGAGGAACGCUUGCGCUUUUCCCCAACUUCAGAAUCCUGUUUUUGUUUCUGAAAUUGAGUAGAAAUAACAUUACCAGUAUUGGCAACAAACAAAAAAAAGCCAAAGAAAUCGGAACAAAACCAUGACCUGCCAAAUGAUCUAUGUAUUUGAUAACAUACUACAUGCUUUCAAGAUACUAAAAACUAGUAGCACUUUGAUCUCAAAAAACUAAAUUUGAUAACCUUUCUCAUGAUUAAAAAAAAACAUUUUCUGUGCAGCACAGCAGGACUUACAGAAAUAUUAUACAGGAAACUGGCAUCUUAGCUUGACAACAACGAAACUUCAGUAUCUUGAAGCAGAUAAUAAAUAUUACUUAAUGGACCCUGAAGGGCCACUUCCUUUUACCUGGCUUAUCUAGUCAGAAAUUAAUGGAAUCACAAGGCUGUUUCCAAAAGAAAACAGCUGGAUUCAGCUAUGAGUUACUUGAAAGAUGAAAGCAAAGGAAACUAUACACACCAGACCAUAACAGUCAAAUCAGACAUCUCUCAGUAAUCCCAGAGACAAAUGUUACAAUCAAUCUCUAAACCCAAACAAAGAAAAUAAAAAAGUUGAAAAUUAAUUCUGUUACAACCUAGGCCUGGACAACAUAACAAGAUCAUCCAUGAUCCAGGAAAGAAUGAAGUUGCUCACAAAAACUUCAUCCUAACAUACGUAAACAGACAACUCAAGAUAAACUCCAGAAACCCCUCUUGCUAAACAACAGCAAAAAUUCCAAUUAUACCACUAUCCAAACCCAUCAAAAGUAGGACCAUACUCGCUGGAGAACACUACACGAAAUCCAUUUUUGUGGAAGGAACAUCCCAUUAAUGCCCCAAGCAAGCAGUUCCAGUAGCUAAUGACAAAACCCUUUGCUCUAACUGAAACUCUACCAUUCUCCAGUAAGAGUCUUCAAUCUUGCAGGGCAUUUAUUUUAGUUGGUAAAAGAGAUGGAGAAAAGAACAGUUAUUGCUUAUAUCAUCUACAUGCCAAAAAGAGAUUCAUCCACAAGCUAUGUAAAUUAUCAUGGGUUCCUUUUACCAAAGAAAAAGCUUUCUGAUAACAUGACAAACCAAAGAAACAUUUAGGCAUCCUCCAUUGGCAAGUACAAAGACAAUAAUCUACUUAAAUGACCCAGAAUGUCCACUGAUUACUGGAAAUACAUUGAAUUGGCAUUGUAAAUACAAUACCACCCAUUCAACAGGCUCAUCUACGUGAAAAAUCUAUAUGUACCAGAUCUUUUCCCGUACACUGUUCUGGCAAUCAUAUAAAUGACACUAACCUUUGCUGACUUUCCUGUAGCUGCAUCCGAAGAGCCUGAAGUUUUACUUGUUGAUGCUUUCACCUUCCGUCUCUUACCCUUCUGAGAUAAACAAACAACUUUAAGAACAAGAAUGACAUAUUAACUCUGCAGGAAAAGACAGCCAAAUAUUCAACCGAAAAGAGAGAGAGAGAGAGAGAGAGAGAUGUUUGAGUAAUCACCUGUUCCUGGUCAGCAAGCAAAACCUCUGUGGUAGCAUGUGGGGAUUCCAAGAACUCCAAUAACUUUGCUGAAAGAUCUUCCUACGGAAGUGUACAAGAUUGAUUAAAAAUAAAUGGAUGCUUCAACAAAUAACAUAACCAUCAGGGAAGUAAGCGGCAACUUGCCUUCUUUGCAACAGCUUUGUUCAACCGAAUAUUGAGGAUAUCACAAAAGACAAACAAUCUGUCCUUAACACAUUUGUCAAGCUUCUCCUUGACUUUUGCCCUUUGCUUUUCCUCCUGAAGACGUCAAACAAGGAAGAUUAUAUAAUGUCAGCAUAAUGAUCAGUACAUCACAACCCAUUCAUCUAGGCGUACACAUAAACUUGCUACAUCAGAUUACCCACUUAAAAUAUACCCAAGUUCACAAAUUAUUCAUGACUAUGGCUUUGAAAAAACAGAAGCAAAAACCAUACAAAGAACUUGAUCUUUUAGCUUAUGGUGGAAAGCAAAUGAACAGAAUAAAGUAGAAUACUUGUCCUUAAAAAAUUUUCUCCCAGUUACCCCAGUUUCAAAUGACAAGGACCUUCCCAGUUUUAGAUCCAUCUUCAGAUUCCCACGUGUCCACAAGGUCAAUGGCUCAUACAGACUUAUUAAUUAUCAUGCAGCAGCAGGAUAGUUGAUUUGUCAACCCAAUAGAUCCAAAUACAACCAAUUGGCAUAACAUGCUCAAGGCAGUUGGAUGAUUUACAGCCAAGAACCACUGAUUUCAUGAAUAAAACAGCACAUGUGAACACUUAACAGCCAUCAGAAACUGCACAACCCACAGCAAGAGAGAUACAAAUCCAACCAUUUCACAUAAAAAGCUUUACCAAAAAGACCAAUAAUAACAAGAAAUAAAGGACCAAGAGUUCCACGUGAUUUUUACCUCAUUUUCUGUCCAGACAAAGCCUGAAAACAUGCCUAUGUUUUUCUUCAAAGUCUGUGCCUGCAUCACAAGACAAAAAUACUUUACAAGGACAAAAUACUUCUCAUUCCCAAAUGAGCUUACAAAAAGAAAGUGACAAGUACAUAAGGCACCAUACGCAUACCAUUUGGCAGCCAUUUCUAGUUUAACUACAAAAUAGCUAAUUGAAUAAUGCAAUCCUAAAAAAAACAAUGAAUAUUUUGGGUUAAAAAAAAAAGAAACUCACCCUUCCUUUCUUGCCAAAAAGAAUGUAGUGAAGCAUCUGUAGAGUGUCAUCAGCUUUUCUUUUUGAUAGCUUAUAUGCCACUGAAACAAUUCACAAGAUCAAUCUUAAAAGGUGAAACCUUUUCCAAGGAAGUAUAACAUAUAGACAAUAACACAACAGCCACAAGCGAAAGAAAUUCUACUAUGCUAGGGACAAAAGGAUCUAAGAAAACUAAAUAAUCCAAUUUAGCAACAGCAAUAACAAACACUAAACUAAGGCAUUGAGGAAUUCUAAGAAGUUAAAAAUGAAUGUGCCUACAAGAUACCAGGAAAAGAAGCCUUUGACCACUUAUCCUUCCAAUCUGCUAAAACUAUUCUCAAAUAUCAACAGACAGAACCAUAUCAGGCAUACGAUUUACAAAUCUAAUUUUACUCAAUAAGAUAACAAAGUCAAAACCUUUAAUUGUAACUUACAAAACUCCAAAUCAAUUUGUCAGCAAGUUUCCAAAUUAUACCUCCUAUGCUGUGGUAAACACGAUGUAGCUACAAUAGGUUUCCCUUCUUUCAACAUAGCCAGAAUAUAGGCAUUUCAAAGAUUUCUGACCAAACUCAUGAGAAACCUUAAAUUGUGAAUUAAUAAGAGUUCAUAGGCCCUUUCUUCCUCCAUGACUAGUUUUCUGUGCUAUCAAUAAGACUGAAUCAACAUCUUUUAGCCACCAUGAUAACACCAACAAACAGAGAACUCACCUAGUACUAAAACCCUUAAAGCACCACUGCACACCGAAAACCACAAAAAAGAAUUUAACCCUGCUCAGGCUUAAAUCUCAGAGCUGUCUCCAGACAGUCACAAUUCAUAAACCACUCUUUGAGUUCUCUUUCCUGGACACCCUGAAUCUCAACAUUCAUUACAAAAAUUAAAAAAGGCAUACUUGGAAUGUCCACAACAAAACAGAAGCAUUCUCUUGCAUGGGAAUGACAAGAACCACCUAGAAAACUUGUACUAUUGUACAUAGACAUAAACAUCUACACCCACCGACAACACAGUACCCAGACAAAAAGAAAAAUCACUACAAGUCUAAAACUUUAAUCCAUGAGAACAAUAAAGGCCCUAAGCUUCUGACACCAACCACAUCAUGACAACUUUGAAUUAUUCAGCUUAUGAAUAUGCAAGAUAACCACAAUUACGGGUCGAACAAGCCUCAAAUAGUCAAACUCAUAAAACUCUUAACUAUUAACUGCAUUUCACUGAACUAAAAUAAAAUUAUCACAGUGAAAUGAUACCAUUAGGAAUGUCCUUUAGCGGCGUGCCUUGACCCUGCAAAAGGAAAAAAAAAUUACACAAAAACCAAAUGAAUUUCGAAACAAAUUUUGCCAAUUAAUUCACUUAAUAGUCAAAUCCCAUACUGAAAGAAUAAAAAAUCAUUGCCUUCUCAAUAGCUAUCGGUUGGCGACGCACUCCUUGCGGCAGAAGUCUCGGUAUAUCUCUCCACAGUCUUCCUCUCCCUGGUGGGCCUCUCAAUCGCCGGUGUCGCCGGUGAAACCUUCUCUUUCACUUUCUUAGCGCUCUUCUUCACUUUCUUCUUCUCCUUCUUAUCCUCCUCUUCUUCUUCUACCUCAACUUUUUCCUCUUCUCCAUCCUCCUGCUCUACUUUCUCCUCUUUCUCUUCCUUCUUAUCAACUUCCAUCUCAUCUUUUCCUCCCUCUUCUUCCACCUCUUUAUCCGGCAACUUCUCUUCACCCGCUGCGGCUUCUUUUACCCCUUCUCCACCAUUUUUCACAGCAGCAUCCGGAUCCUCCUCUUCCUCCUCCUCCUUCUCCUCCUUUCCUGGCUGUUUCUCCUCGAGGGUUUCUUUCUCAGAAGCCAUGAAUCAAAAUUCACCAACAAAAACCAAAAGGGCUUGUCGGGAGAACAAAAAAUUGACAAUAGAUUAUACUACUAGGAAAUAGAGUAAAAGUAAAACCCCUGGUCUGGGAUUUUAGGGCUUUAGGGGAAAAGGGGGUUUUGGUAUUGGGUUAAUUUUUUGAUCGUUCGAAGAAGAAAUCGAGUGAGAGUAGGGGAUGAGAGAGGAAGCGGUGAAAGCAUAAAAAUAAAAUGACGAGAAAGGGGUUUUGGGGGGAGGCAAAUUUUGGGGAAAAUUUUGGGGGAGGCGGGGAGAUUUGUGGUUGGGUGGGAGGGGGCUUGGAGUUUUGAAAAUUUUCGCGAAAUUCGGUGCCGAUUCAAUUUACCGGGUUGAUUCGCCUAGUUGGCUCAGUUGAGCUUUUGGGGAUUUGGGUCUCUCCGGUCGCCUUUCUCCUAUUUGCUGCAACUUUGAUUUGUUUCCCUCUAUUCAAUGAAGAUAAUGGCUUGAAUUUUAAAUUUUUGAAAUUAUUAUAAUUUAAUGGUCAAUAAUACUCAUUUUACAUUUCAACUCUAAGGUCAAUAAAACUCAAUUCAGUAAUUAAAUUUAAUAAAUUCAGAUUUAAAUAUAUUCAAAUGUAUUUAAUAACUAAAAAUUAAACAUUUGAAUAAUUAAGUGAUACAUCCAAUACAAUAAUUAUUUAUUACACUAUAUCUCCAAACAAUAUAUUUAAAAGCAUUUAAGCAGUUAAUAAGUACUUUUAUUAAAAACUGUACUAAGAAAGUACUUUCCAAUAAGUUACCCUAAUUUCAAAUUGGCCCUUAUUUUAAUUUUUUUAAAAUAUUUCUUGAUGUGAAUCGUUAUAUUCUUUAUUUAAAAAAUGAAAGUAAUUGUUAUACUACAAGAGCUCGAUCUAGGCUCAACAUGUUGUUUGACCUUACUUGGACUAAGGUCAAAUAAGCUAAAGUUAUAUCUAAUCACGUUUGAGCUAUACAAUACUCUGUCUCGAUUCAGCUUGGUGAUACCUCUACACUUCAUAUUAAUGAGCAAAUCAUUAAAUGUUUACGUUAACAAAAUUUUGAAGAAUAUUGAUGACUAGUUCAGUGAUGAUGGUAUUUUCUUAGACUUGAAAUCUAUUAACGAAGUUUAAUUAUUUUGUUGUUCAAUAAAAUAAAUAAAAUCCCUAAGCUUACUUUAGUUCAAACUUAUCCGGAAGAUGGCAGCUAAAUACCCUUAGCCCCCUCCAAUAAUCAGGGUAUCGUUUUGUCUCAAUGUUAAUUAAUGGCAUUUUCCUUGUUCGGGUAACAUCGAGUGUUAACUCAAACUUGUUACUGUGAGACCCUUAUACAGGCCAUAGAGCAAGGUUUGUUAUUUAAUGAUCUUUUCCAAAAGAGCAAGAAAGAAAGAAAGGGAGUAAGGUGAGGGUGUGGGAGGGGGAGGGGGUGGAUGGGGCUCUCUUCCCAAAUCUAUUGGAUGUGGGUUCUUCAACCUGAGUUUAAGGUCCAUAUGGUUCUCGUUCAGUUACCAAUUGAUUGGAUAUGGGUUUUCUUGUAGUCCCUUAGAUUACUGUUAAUUGGGUCCUCUAACCGUUAAUCUUCUGAGUGUUUCUAAUCUAAUUGGAUGUGUGUGUUUCUAUUUCUCGACAGAAAAAAAAAAAAAAAAAGGGAGUAAGAUCUCAAAAGUUUGUGAGAAUGAAUACAUUAAUUCAACAAUCAACCCCCACCUAACUCUUCUAUCCUUGAAUAAAAGUUUAAAGAUAUCAUUAAGGUUGUUAGGCUUUUUAUGAAUGCAUUAAGAUCUCUCCCUCUUUUCUUUAGGCUUCUCUAUGCAUUUAAUUACAACGUUCUAAAAGUCUAGGAUUAUCCAUCCUGAUUUUGGUUUAUUUAUUUUCCAUUUUUUUACCUAUAUAAAUAUUGCAAAUAACUGAACCAUGAAUUCAGUUAAGAAGACUAAAGGGGCGGAAGGGAAACAACCGAUUAUUGAGUAUAAUCAAAGAAUCAUCUCACAAACCUAAACCUCACCUCACGAGGUUUUUAACAAUUUCACUAACCACCGUUGAGAGUUUAGAAAUUACAUCCACUUCUAAUGUCUAUUAAUUAAAAAUAAUAAUAUUCGCCUUUAAAAUAACGCUGUAAUGAAACUCUUUCUUUGAUGUCUAUUAUUCUUUCCUUUUCUUUUUCUAUUCUUAUUCUUUCCUUUUAUAUUUUGCAAGUACAACUAUGAAACUAUCAACACUGUCCUAAGCCUUCAUCAUAACCAAAUGUCGAACUAGUCAUCUUUUUUGACAAGAUAACAUUGGAUGUGAUCUUUUUUUUUUUUUUUGCUAUUUUUGUUUUGAUAAAAAAAAUAAUAACUCCAAUUGCAAUAGUUCAAAAUCACUAUCAAACUAUGGUAAUUCUACCACUACAAAGAUCCAUAAACUCUAAAAAUUUUAUCGUAACACUUUCUUAUUGUAGUAGAUAUCUAUAUUCUCAAUAAAGCAACUUCAAAAUGUUUCCUAUCUUAGUAAUAGGAUUAGCAUCAUAGUUUCUUAUCAAAUGAUAUAAGUACGAAAAUUUGACACAUGUUCUUUAUAAUUGUGCAAAAUUAUUUUACAAUUGUUUAGAAAAGAAAAUUCAGCUUUUAUUAUAUGAAUAUCUUUCUCUUUUUAUUAAAAUUUUAAUAUAUGAAUCUAUUUUAGGGUAUUCAUUUAAAUUUUUUUGACCAAGUUGAGGAGAUUUUGAGGUUCAGUUCUUAAACCUAUCAAAUCAGGAAAAGUAGGUAUAAUCUUUGAAACCUUGAAGAAACUCAAUGAAAAUGUUAGAAAGCUCAAGAGAGGUUUCUUAAAUUAUCCCUAUAAUCAAAAUUUACACAAAAAUUGACAAAAAGUGUGCAUAUAACUUUUUUGUAUUUAUUGAUGUAAAAUAUCUAUAAAUAUUAUUACUUAAAAAAGUUAUCAUUACAUACUAAUAAAGCUUGAAUUUGGGCUUCCUGUAUUGUCGAACUUACUUGAGUCAAGAUCCGCCAGGCUAGUUAUGCUGAUUAGAGUUCAAGCAUUGCAUUAUGCAUUAUGCAUUAUGCAAUGUCAAUCUUCGAAGAAGAAAAGCGAUACUGAAAGUAGGGGUGCAGAGAAUUCGAGUAGCUUGAAUCGAGCUCGCGAGUAGCUUGGUUAGCUACUCGAAUCGAGCUCGAGCAAAUUCGAGCUCGAGGCGAUUUCGAGCUACUUGCUACAGUAAACGAGUCGAGUUCGAGUAAUUAAUGGCAAGAAAUUUUAACUCGUCGAGUAGCUCGAGCUUGGUGGCCUAUUUGUAUAUUUUAUAUAUCAAUUUACUCUUUUAGGUUUUUAGUUAGAAUAUUUACGGGCUUAACCAGUUAUGUUGUAAUAAUAAUGAAGGGUGAAUAAGUAAUUUUGGCUCGUAAACUAAAAGCGAUGAAAUGCAUUGCAAACUCUGUCCUUCAUUUGCCUUCUUCGUUCCUCUUCAGUCUUCAGAGUUCAGCUUACCUCUCAAAUCCCAAUCUCAGUCUUUGGCUCAUCUUCUCAAAUCUCAAUUGUCACUCAAAAAAAUUGGGGGCUGCUGCUGCUGCAAUACUUGUAAUGGUUUCUGAGCUCUUGAGUCUUGACUUAGAGGAAGCUCUUGAGUCUUGCGCGCUGCUGGCGCACGCCGUGGAGGAGAGGGCGUCGCGCGUUGGCAGAUGACUGCGCGCCGUGCGCAGCUGCUGCUGGACUGCUGCGGCUGAGUUGCUGCUCGAUCUGCCUGGAGGUGAACUGGAGCGCAAGGGGCAGGCUGCUCGCAAGGGGGCGACUGCGGUUGAGUCGCGCAGGGGUUGCGUGAGAAGGAGCUGCUGGUGGCGAGGCGCGGCUGGGCAACAGGCGCGAUGGGCGGCAGUGUGGCGUGCGGCGAUCUGGCGGGGUGCAAAGUGGCGGCGGCGGACAAAGAGAAAAGAAGGAAGAAGAAGGAGAAAAAGAAAGAAAAGGAAGAAGAAAGAAAAGAAAGAGAAGAAAAAGAGAGAAAGAGGGGAAGUAGGGCUGAUGUUGUUGUUGUUGCUGUUGUUGCUUCGAUCGGAUGCAUGUCAAGUUCGAGUACUCGACUCGAGCUCGAGCUCGAUAUGCAUUCAAGCUUGAUUGAGUCGAGUACGAUCUUACUCGUGCUUGUCUCGAGUCAAUCCCGAUCUUCAUUGCUCGAGCUCGAUUCGGCUCGAUUUCACCCCUAACUGAAAGAGAGAGAGAGAUGUACAUGUGCAAAAUGAUUGUUUUAGUUCUCACAGCAAAUGAAAUAUCAAGUAUUUUUAAAGGAUUUUCAGAUGUUAGUUUUUUUUUAAAAGCAUAAUUAAUUAGGAAAAGAUGUUAGUCUUUUGAAAAAAAUAUAAUUAAUUAGAAAAAGUGUCAGAAUUCAGGGGUGCAAUAACUUAGAUGUAAUUUAAAGAGACGCCUUUUAGAAAUAUCACUUGUUUUAUUAAGAGGCCUACUAGCUGUUUUUGUACAAUAUGUGAUUAAAUUUAACUAAAUUUGUCAAGAAGGAUUUACUUUAAUGGUUAAAAUGGAAACCCCAAAAAUUAGAAAUCUUGGAUUCGAAUAUUUGUUUUACAUGUCAUUGUUUGAGCUCAAGCUUCAAACUCAAGCGGAUAUUUGACCCAGAAGCUUGCAAGUCUCAGUUCAUUUAUACCUGUAGCACGGUGAUAUGCUCGAAUUGGUGAUUUAACGUGUACCAAUUUUUGAUGUAGGUAAAUUGAAAACUCAAUAAAAUAUAACAACAAAAUUAGGAUGAAUAAAGUUGGUCAACAUAUACUCCCGCGGUCCAUAAAGAUUGGCUGACUUUACUUUUGUGUAUGUCCCAAAUUAUACGCUUAUUUCCUUUUUUAAAGAAUAGUUAAUUUGUUAUUUUACUAAUAUACUCAUAUUUAAUGUACAUAGUUAUUACAAAUUUUUUUAAUAAACAUUAGUUGCCUUCUAUAUUGUUUGGCAAUUUUAUUUUUGUUAUUUAUUUUAGUCAAACAUGUAACAUUAAUUUGAUUGACUCUUGUAUUGAAAAACUAAAGUACCUUAAGUUCCUAGAAUAAUAUAGUAAUAUGAACCUGUUACUUUGAAUGAAUGAUCUAAUAUUAACAAGGGGUAUUUGAGGAAAGCAUGAACACAAAAAUAAUUAUUGUAACUAUGUUAGCUAAAUUUUUUAAUUUAUGUAAAAAAAAGAAAUAGGUCUAUCUUUACAGGACGGAGACAGUAAUUAAUGCAUAUAAAGUAAUCCCAACAAACUUUACGAGUUAUCUCAAACUCCUAUCCUAGGAUAGGAUGGAUGGAUGUAGUUGGUGGUUGAAUUGAUUUAUUUUGCUAAUGUCUCAUUUCCAUUUCAUCUUCAAGAAGACAUCAUUAAAAAGAACACGCCACUCUAUGUGGCCUGUAUAAAGGAUCCACAAGACAGAGUUUCAAGUACCCAACACUUGCAUUUGCACCCAUCAGUCUUGCAACAUGUCAAAAGUUCUUCUCCUCUGCUGCAUUCUUUCGCUCCUCUUUGUCAUGAAUCUUGGUACUUUUUCCUUUUCACUCUCUUCUCUCAAUCCUUGUUGUUAUGAAAAAGAAUAAUAGACAAAUGUACGCUGGAUUGGCAGAUAUGGCCAUCUUAAUUAGACUUGCUACACAUUGCCUCCCUGACAGAGAAAACUAGACCAGUUUUAAGUUACAUAUAUAAAACUGAAAUUUUCGCAUCGAAAAAACGAAAUCAAUGCAUAUGAUUAAAAAGAAAAGCAAAGAGGGUUGUUGGAUUAUGAGUUUUUUGUGAACUUAGAAUUUUUCUCACAUGUACAGCUGAAGAAGUCCCAAAUGCAGGAGGGUUGGAGGAUUCCAAAGUUACGGUAAAGCACCUUGGACUCAGAUUAAGCGUAGCGCAAUGUGUUAGAGAUUGCCACGCGAGGUGGCCAAACUCCACAGCGAGAUGUCCCAUUUUUCAUGGCCAUAUAUGCGCCUGCCUAUGCUAUGUCCCUUGACUCCCUUCUCUCUAAUUAUUAUUGUCAAUGAUAAUUUCCGUAAGCGAGAAGGCCUAUAUAAUAUGUAUGUGACUUCUCGGUUUUUAUACAGAAACUAUUACAUGCUAUGAAAACUUCUAUAUUCCAACAAACUUUACGAGCAAUAAUCUAUAUUCUUCGCUCCAAAAGUCAAAGAUUAAUCAUCCAACUGGACCAUCAUUAAUCCUAAAGGCAUGAAGAACAAUGACAAAUUUUAAAAGUUCUGAGAUCUAAUGGAAAUUUAGUAUUAGCUAUUCAAAAUUUGCUACGUGAUCAAAAAGAACGAUGGAAACGAGUUUGUUGGACCAUUAAUUUCCAAAUUGCUUGAAAUUUUUUAAACCCACAUAAUUUUAAACACUACAGAUGAUGAUUCAAGGCACAAAUAAGUUGAAAGGAAAAGGCAAAGUGGGUGUGAAUCUUGGACGUUAUAUAUGAAUCUUAGGUACAAGGAAAUGUAAUCCGGCACUACAAAACCAAUUUUGCAUCCUGCCAACUAAACAAAUAAUUAAAAUUAUAAAAGCGCAAAGUUUAAAACGUGUAUAUAUAGCAACUUUAUACAGACCUGAUUCUGCUAUGAAAUUUCUUAUAAUUGGUGAAUGAAUUGAAUAGUCAACAAAAUAAAGACACAGAAAUUUAAACAAAUUCGAGGUCAAAUAUAUCAUGCCUGAAGGUGUGAAUAAAAGGCUCAUUCUUCUACCCAAUAUCUACCUUAGUUGGUAGGAAUACUAGUACGUGAUCAUAAAAUUCUUCAUUCAACUUUUAAACUCAUUUUUUAGAAAAGGUUUGGAAUCUCCUCUUAAACUAAAAAACAAAGAAAAAAAAUGCUUAUCGUUUAGAUAUUGGAGGAAAAUUCACCGCAUUCAUAUUUGAAUUGUUGAGGCUUAAAUUAUUGAGUUUUAGUCUUUUCUUUGGGUUUCAAAAUUGUUAAGACAAUUAAUUGUCCUAUGGUACAAUAAUCAUGCCGUCCCAUCAACAACAAUUGCGUACCUCUCAAAAACACGAGAAAACAAAUCAUGCUUUAUCUUUUCCCAAGCCAAUCCGUUGUUCGAGGCAUUAUCGUCUCAAACAACUAAUUACUUGAUGGAUUUCUCUUUACGCCCAAAAAAAAAAAAAAAAAAUCAAUCAAGAAAAAAGGGCUGAAGUUUUUAUUCACAUUCAAUUAGGAAUCUGUUCACCACAUCUCAAGGCUGUCAAGUCCAUGAGUUCAUAUAGGACGUUAGAUAAUUUGGGUCAUUAGUAUUUACCUUCUAUGGGGAACUAUACAGCGUUUGCGGCCUCUCCGACUGCCGGAUAGAUCAAAUUAGCAGCGCACUUUUAUCGAUUUCAUCCCUUAUCCGACUUUCUCCUAAGGGCCAUAUAAAUGACAGCAGAAAUAGAAAAAUAACUAACUAGAAUUUGCCAAAGCGAAGCCAAAGUGCUCCAGUAUUGCAAGUAUAUAGUAGUACUAGUACUUUGUGAUUUUCAUGAUUGGUGGUUUUUGUAAUUUUGUAUGGCCUGACAACUUGACAAUUUUUUGCCUUGGCUUAUGGAUAGUGGAAAGAGCAAAUGGAAGAACUAUUCAACGAUCAAGAAAUUAGUGGUUUCUUUAUCUUUUGAAAGCAUUCCUCCAAAAUCUUCAAGAAUGGAGGGUGCUACAACCAUUUUUUCGUCGAAGAGUAAAUCAUGGCAUUGUGCUGGAUCAGCUGAAAAAUCCCAGCAAAAUCAUGCUGAGUACAAAACAAGGUAUAAGAUUGCCCCUAAAGGUUGUUUUUCAGUGUAUAUUCAAAUGGUAUAUGUUGGCCCUGCGAAACAAAGAUUUGUUAUCCACUGUUGAAGAUGCUGAAUUGGGAUAUGCAUAGAGCAAUGAAGGCCCUCUUUUGCUUCCAUGUGAUAUUGAUCUUUUUUGACAAGGUUUUGGCUGAGAUGGAUAGCGGGAAAGAGGCCAUGGUUGAUGAUUCUGAUUCAUCAGCUGGUGGUGGAUUUGCGUAUGGCUCCUGCAGUCCUUUUAGUCCGGCACGGGGUCUCCGAAAUGGCACCAUGUCUAAAUGUUAUAGUCCAUACGAACUUCUCACUCCACCCAGAUUGCUGAACAUCAAUUAGUACUUCUCAUUGCCUUUUCUAAGUUAUUCUGCCGUGUAGGUGUAGGAAUAAUGUCUUAUUUUAGGCUUUCUCAAUAAGUAUGGGAUGUGACAAAAUGAAACAUGAAGGGUUGAAUGCCGUGAAAAUUUAUUACUCAAGUGUUGAUUAACACCUUAUCUGCGUGCAUGUGUCCAAACUAGGGCUAUUUUGAAGUGUUUUCGAGGAAGAUAUGUUCUCAGGAAAAUAGACAUCCAGUAUCUCUCUUCUUGUCUGAAAUUUUUAACUGGAUUAUGAAUUGAGAUAAUUGUCAAAAAAGCUUCAUUUAGUCAUAUAAAGUUUGACUAAUAUCGCCAAAUUCAUAAUCUCACUCAAACUUUUGGGAUUUUGGUUUUCACAAAGAAAACCAGAAAAGAUUUUUCUCUUUUUAAUUAGAUACUUUGCUCCUCACUUUGUCAUCAGAAGUGCAUAAUACAUGUAUAAGUCGACUUAGUGAUUCUGCCUUGAAUGAUUGGAACUCCCAAAUAACGCCCAAUAUUUUAUUCAUCAAGGGAAAUUGAGUGCAUCGACUAAACUUUCUGGCAGUGGAUCUACUAAUAUUAGGGUGAGGCAUACAACUUAGAAUUUUCCAAAUUAAUUUUCUGGGCUGAUGUACCAUAGAAAAUCUCCAUAUAUGUUUGCCCUUUCCCUGGUUCCCACAUCGUUCGUGUUAGGUGUGUGUGAGUGGUACUUAAGGUGCUCAAGUAUACUCAGAAGUCAGCAAUUACCUUUUGGGUAUCCUUGUGGAGUUACCUUAGGUAACCGUUUGUGUAUUUUUGACAAAAAUGGUAGAAAAAAACCACCAGAGAGGAGAGAUGUGAGUGGUACUUAAGGUCCUCAAGGUCCUCAAGUAUAUAUCCUUGUGGAGUUAUCGUUUGUGUAUUUUUGACAAAAAUGGUAGAAAAAAACCACCAGAGAGGAGAGAUGUGAGUGGUACUUAAGGUCCUCAAGUAUACUCAGAAGUCAGUAAUUGCCUUUUGGAUAUCCUUGUGGAGUUAUCUUAGGUAACCGUUUGUGUAUUUCUGACAAAAAUGGUAGAAAAAAAGAGAUACAGUAUGUCUCAUAAUCUUUGUUUACGAGAUUGACGGUUCACCAAACAAGAUUAAAUCACCUUCAAGUAAUAUUGACUGACUUCCAAGAUUACUUGUUGAAUAGAGUCCCAAGAUUAAGUUGAUGAUGGAUUUUGGAAUAAAAUAGCCAAAUGCCACUCUUUGAAGCCUUCCAAGAUAGCUAAAUGCCACUAGAAAAACAAGCCGGCUCUUGUACUUCCACGGUUGGAAAAGUUGCAACAUCCUUGCAUUUCAAUUUGAUGAGCUAUAAAGCCUUUAGAUUUAGGUUAAUCAAGAAUCAAACUAGAAGGCUUAUACAUGAGAAUUAGGUAUGUCAAUUGAUAGGAUCUUUUCCAGAUGCAACCCAGAUCUAAUGUACUUGGAUAGAGUUUGAAUUUAAUUUCUUAAAUACAGAUCCUAUCUAAACCCAGACUGUAAAAAAGUUAUGGAUCUGGGUAAAGUCUGAUUUUGUGUGAUUCAUAUCCAAAUCCAAAUACAUACCAGGCCCAAUCUAAACCCAUGUAUAUAUAAUUAAAUUAUGUAUAUAUAUAUUAGUAAAUUUAUAAAAUAUUCUAAUAUUUUAUGGCCAUUGGAUCGAAUACAAUAAGAUUUCAUGAUUAUUUUUUUUUUUCAAACAAAUCCUAGUUAUCAUUGUAAUUAGUACAAACUUUUUAUAAAAAGGAGUCAAAGUAAAGGCAAAUAAAUGAAAGAUUGGACUUAGAUAUAAUUGAAAUUUAAAAAAUAAACCGAAGUAGUUAAUAAUAAUUAUUUUUUGAGUACAUAAUAUUGCAUCCAACUUCUUGAAUAUUAAUUUUAUUAUUUAAAAAUAAAAAUUGGAUGGUGUUUAUAUUUUUUAAAAUCUAUAUAUUUUUACUUUAGUAUAUUUAGGAAAAUAUAGCGAAUACCCAUUGGGUAUCCAAAUCCAUAAGAGUCUAGAUUUGGACUUAUUUUUUCAGACCCAUAAGGGUUUGGAUCUAGAUCUAAGUUUAACUAAAUUUAAUGGGUCUGAAUCUAGAUCAAAGGGAUGUAAUCUGAGCCCUACCCAUUGAUAUACCUAAUGAGUUUAAUGGACUUAUUUUUUCAAACCCAUAAGGAUCUGGAUUUGGAUCAAAUUUAACUAAAUUUAAUGGAUUUAGAUAUAGAUCAAAGGAAUACAAUCCAGAUUCUACCCAUUGACAUGACUAAUGAGAAUAAUAUAUCUUAGUAUAAAUUUCGUUAGACACGAUACAAAACAUUACAGAUAGUUGAGCAGGCUAAUUAUACCUCCAGUAAAUUUUUUCUAUUCCAUUUUUUUUUUGGAUAAUGUUAUUUACACCCCAUUAUGUUAUCUGCACUUCCGCUAUCCCAUUUUCAUCUUGACGAGACUAUAUUACUACUAUUUUAAUUUCUUUUCCUACCAUAUCUUGUGUUCACAUGUAAGGAAGUUCAGUACAAUUGUUGUACGUGUCCAAAAGGUAAAAAAAAAAAAAAUUAACUUUUGCUUCUUUUUUUCUACAUCUACAUAACUAUUUGUUUAAUUUUAUUUCAUAUUUUUAUUUUAAUUUCAAUUUUACAGAUUUUUUAUGAGCACAAUUGAGGUUUCAUUGCAUCAUCUAGUGACUAGAUGCUAUUAUGCUUUUGUUGGAAUAUACUAGAAAUGUUCAUUCCUUCUAUGGUGGUUAUAUGAGCUAUUCUUAGUAGGUUUUUCGAAGUAUUAAUAUCCUAUUUAUGAGACAUUAUAGUUACAUUCAAGUUUUGCUCAUCUUUGAUUAGGGUGACAAUUCUUGACACGACUCGAAAAUAUGAUUCGAACCUAAUACUCAUCAUGAAUUCGGGUCAAAUUCAAAUCAAAUCCGAAUGACCCGCCUAAGUAAAUAGGUCCAAUUCAGGUCAACUCACUGGUUGACCUAUUUGACCUGUUUAAUAUAUAAUUUUAUAAUCUAAUUAAUAAAUUAGAGGCAUAAAGUAAAUAAAAAAACUAACUAAGGCUAUAAAUUAGUAUUAUAAGAAUGGAAUCAUGAAUAUUAUGUGAAAAUAAGGUAUUUUAUUUGUGAAAGUGUCAUAAUUUUGUUUUUGUUCAUAUUUUUUUUGUAGAAAAAGAAAAAUAAAAAAUUACAACGAGAUUGGGUUGUAAUUUUAUAUAUUCUUAUGGAAACUCCAUUAUAAAAAAAAAUCCACCAUACUACCAAAUUGAGAAGGUUAAAAAAAAUAUUAAACAAAUAGGUUAUGCAAGUCAACUUCGGAUAACCCACAAACUAACGAGUCAUGUGGUCAAAAAAGUUGACCCAUUUAAAUUUUCGGGUCGGAUUUGGGUGGACGUCUUGGUAAGAAUACCUCAGUCUCAAUCCGACCCGUCAACCCACGAUCCGACCCGAUUGCCACCCCUAUCUUUGAUGCUUGAGAUUUUAUUUAUUUAUUUAUUUAUUUAUUUUGGGCUUGAAGUUUAGAAUCUAUUCAUAUUACAUUGUUAGAUUGAUCUUUGGCAUCUUAUAAUUUCGUGAAAUUUUGUAGAAAAAUACAUAAUACAUAUAAGUGACAAUUUUAAAUUAGUCAUUUUAAUGUGUAAUGGAAUAAUUAAUUUGUUUUAGAAUGUAAGAGAAAAUCUAGAAAAGUUAACUCAUAGGCAAGAAGAUGAAAUUAGAGAGGGGGUAAUGUGGUCUCGUUAAAAUAAAAAUGAGAUGGUAAGCGUGCAAAUAACAUUACCCUUUUUAAAUUUUUUUUGGCAUAGAUUAGUACCUAUGAUUAACAAAAUCUUCGUUUCAAUCCGGCCCAACUCCUCAUGUCUUGUUGGCUCGGUGGAUUGGGUCUGACCUAAUCAGGAAUCUUUCAACUGAUGCCAAUCCUAAUAACUCAUAAACUUUGUGAUUAAACUCUAAUAACUUUCAAGUUUCACAUAGCAUUAAUUGUUUGAGCUCAAGCUUUAAAGUUUAAAAUUCAAUCAUCACCGGGGUCAAGCUGAUCUCUAACGAAGAAGCUUGCAAGUUCUCAGUUCAUUUACAAUUACACCCCUAGUACAUUUGGUUGACCCAUAAUUAAUGCAUAUUGUGAAAAGCCUAACAAACUGUAUGAGUUAUCCCAAAUUUUAACAGAGAACAGAUUAAUGCAAUAAGUGUCCAAUUAAUGAAUUCUAAGAGACGCCUAAAGAUCUCAUUUCCAUUUUUUGUUUUGUGGAAAAGAUCAUUAAAUGAAACACACCACCACUACUUGGCCUGUAUAAAGGAUAUACAAGAACAAGUUUGAGCAGCCAACACUCGUAUUUGCACCCAUCUUUCCUCCAAAAUGUCAAAAAUUCUCAUCUUCUGUUGCAUUCUCUCCCUUCUCUUUGUCAUCAAUUUGGGUACUUUUUCUUUUCACUCUACCCUCUCAAUCCUUGUUAUGAUAAGAAAAAUAUGCACCAUAGUGAAAAAGAACGAAUAGUUGUUAUUCUGUGAAUUAGCAUAUAUUUAGCCAUACUAACCUAAAAUCUUUCUCACACUUUUUGCAGCCGAAGUGCCAAAUGCAGGAGGUUUUGGGGAUUCGAAAACUAGAAGAGUGAUUCGGGAAAGAGAUCAAAUAAAGUAGUCUGUAUUAGAGAUUGCAGCAGACUGUAUCCAAACUCCACAGCCAAUUGUUUCAAGAUACGCUUUGGAAAAUGCCUCUGCUAUUGCUAUGUACCGGACAGCCCUUCUUCUCCUCACUAAUUUAUCCAUGUUAAUGUGUCUGAAUGAGGGCCUAUAUGUAACAUCACAGCUUUAAUAUAUAUCAGCAAUUCAAGGUUUAUUGGAUUAUAUUAUUGAAACAUUUUUAUCAGCAAUUCAAGAAAGCUUUAUGUGAACAACAUAAAACAUCUCUUUUCCAUUUAAUAAAUUUUUUGUUUAAAAAAAAAGUAGCAAAGCAGCGAAGAUAUAUAGUACAAAUACCAGCAAUUUUGAAGAAAUCUUGUUUAUUAUAAGAAUAAAUGCAAACUAAUUAUCUCACAAAUCGAAUGAAGAUUGUUACGAACAGAACCAAGAAAUUAUAGUCUAUUGAUCAGCUGUAAUUAUAACGUAAAAUAAAUAAGUAGCAAAAGACGAAUAAUAUUGUGAAUUAUUCACCCAUAACCUUUGUGAGAAAAUCUUACAUUUGGAAAAAAAAAUUUAACAUGCAGUCCAACUAACUAUCUAACACAAAUUCAAUAAAGAAAAUGAUGUUAUAGACAGAACACAAACAUUACAUCCUAGUGUUAAUUAAGCAGACUCAUAUCACUAUUUCUUGUUCACAACUUUUAAUGCGUUCCUCUUUUACAACUCUCAGUUAAUGCAAGUAUUUAGUGCCAGUAACUAACCUGCAGCUGAAAAUAAAUAACCAGUUAGCAUUUUCUUUUUAAUGCGUUUCAACUAAUUCUCAGAGUUUUGGUGACAAUUAAUGCUUCCAGCUGCAGGUUUACCCUGUAUGAUAUGCAAGGCAAAAGCCCUUGUCAAAGGUCAAAGGCACCAAUGCUGAUGAUUGAACAUCGUGGACAUGGGUACCUAAGAGUGCAAUAAAACCUGAACCAGGUGCCAUAAAAUUAGCCUUGUUAUCUGAAGGCAUUGUAUUGCUUCUAAUGCACGCAUAUUUAUUGCUUGUAUUGACCAUUAGUUGAUCGGAAUUAAGGUCAAUCGUCUGGAUACAGGAGGACCAUUCACCACAUUCACGAUUCAUGUUUUAAACGGUUGACAGCCUUACAUAUUUGGCUAUAUAUAACCUUUUUUGGCUUUCAAAAUAGACAAAAAGUGCUAAGCUCUUCUUCAUUAAUUAUUCAGGAUGAUUAUCAGUCCCAUCAACAACAAUGUGUACCUUUUAAAGAGUACAAGAAAAACAAAUCACGCAACUUAAUUAUUUAGACUAAUCUUUUCCCAAGUCAAUUGGUGGUUCGAGAUUAUUGUCUCAAACAACUAAUUUCUUGAUGGAUUUCUCUCUUGCACAACAAGAAUAAUAGAGUCAAGAAAAAGGGCUCAAUUUUUUUUAUGGACAAAUUACACUUUACCCCUGUUAUUUAGUGUUUAUUUACAUAACCUCCCCAUAGUUUCAAAAAUUAUACAUAUCUCCCUCAUAAUUUGGACUAAAAUGUCAAAGUAACGGAAUUUGCAAUCCAUAAUGGAGUCGACUAAAAUGUCAAAAAUACCCCUAUAUAAAGUUAAAAAUUAUUUAUUAACCACAUGGGGUUAUAUAUAUAUAUAUAUCAUUAUAUUGAAAACCAUAAGGGAGUUAUAUGGUAAAGCACUAAACCAUAAGGGGGUUAUAUAGUAAAAUAUAAAACCAUAUGGGUUAGAGUGCCAUGCAUAUUAUAUUUAUAUAUUUUGGUCACUCCAACCGCAUUAAUUUUUAAAUAAGAGUAAUAUUGACAUUUUCAUAGGUUCCAUUAUGAAUAAUCAUUUCUAUCAAUUUGACACUUUAAUUCAAACCAUAAGGGAUUAUAUAUAGCUUUUAAAACUAUCGGGGGAUUAUGUUCAACAGAUGGGUAAAGUGUAAUUUGCCCCUUUUUUAUUCACAUUCGAUUAGAUAUCUGCCCGCUACAUCAAGGCUGUCCUAGGUCCAUGAGUUGGUUGACAUUGGACGUUGUAUAGUUUGGUUCACUAGUAUUUAUAUUUGGUGCGGAAACCAUACCACGUAGUUGCCUAUUCUAUUUACAAAUUGCCCCAGUUAGCAACUUAACAACUGCACCUCAUCAAUUUCAUCCCUUAUGACAGUCAAGGUAGAGAAAUUAUAUACAAGAAUUUGUUGAAGCAAAGCCAAAGAACUCGAGUAUUGUAAGUAUGACGAUAUAAUAGUACUAGCAUUUUGUUAUUUUCGUGAUUUGUAUCUAUUGCUUUUGCCUGUAGCUGUUGGACGGACAAAUAAUGGACACUGGAAAGAGCAAAUGGAAGAACAAUUCAAUGAUCAAGAAAUUGGUUUCUUUAUCACUUCAAAGCAUUCGGCAAUACCUUCAAGAAUGGAGGGUGCUACUAUCAUUUCUUUGUCGAAGAGUAAAUCAUGGCAUUGUACUGGGCAGCUGAAAAAUCUCAACAAAAUCAUGAUGAGUACAGAACAAGGUAUAAAGUUGCUCCUAAAGGUUGUUUUUCAGUGUAUGUUGGUCCUGAGAAACAAAGGUUUGUGAUCAAGGCAGAAUGUGCUAAUCAUCCAUUGUUCAAGAUGCUGCUUGAAGAUGCUGAAUUGGAGUAUGGGUAUAGCAAUGAAGGCCCUCUUUUGCUUCCAUGUGAUGUUGAUCUUUUUUACAAAGUCUUAGCUGAGAUGGAUUGUGGCAAGGAGGCCAUGGUUGAUGAUUCUGAUUCAUCAGCUGGUGGUGGAUUUCCAUGUGGCUCCUGCAGUCCUUUCGCUCCGGCACGGCGUCUUCCAGACGGCACCAUCUCUAGAGUUUAUAGUCCAUAUGGACUUCUCAGUUCUCACUCCACCCCGAUUGCUGAAGAUGAAUCACUUCUGAAUCGAACAAAUGUAUAGAUUCUAAUUAUUGCUUUGUCUAAGAGUUUUUUGACCAGUUAGAAAAGCAGAUUUGAUUAAAUAUGGUAUCAAGAAUUAUCAUAGACCUCAUGUAUUCUUUGAAUACCAGAUGAUAUAAUUUUGCUAAAUCAUGUCAUGAACAGCCCUAUAAUCUACCUUGACCGAUUGUAUCCAGUUACUAACCUUUGAUAUAGUAGCCCAGCAUUACUUAAUUCCUAGUACGGAAUAAAAAUACUUAGUUUCAACUCAAGUUUUUUUUAAAACAUUUUGACCAAUCCUUCAAAAAAAAAAAAAACAUUUUGACCAAUCGGCCGUUGAUAAAUGUUUUCAGGUGACUUAAAUGGAUAUGAUCUCUCAUGCUAGGAAUCACUUUCAUAUCAGUUAAUGUAAGAGGAAGGAAAUUCGUGCUGCUUUUGCCAAAAGCAUCCUGUCUAGCCAUUAUAUAACAUGGCCUUUUAAGUGCUGUAAGUAUGGACGAAAGGGAAACAUAGCAAGUCCAGCGAGAUCUGAGAAGUGAGGAAAUAUAAGUAGCCUAUAUAUUGUCUCGCAAAUGACUAAAGGAUUCCAUACCUGACAAAAUUACUAAUAGCUAGUUUGGGAGGAAGGAAAUGGAUAGAAAAGAAAGGGUUUGAAAGGAUAAUAAAUUCUUUCCAUCGUUUGAGAGCCAAAAAGAGAAGGAAAAGAAAGGAUUUGGACUUCCUUCACUUCUCUCUGUGUAUUGGAAAACUUUCCGCCAAAGUUGGGCGGAAAAGGAAGGAAGGGACUGUGCUUUAAAUGAAAUUUUCAAUAUGACAAUAUUACCCUCAAAAUCAUGAUACAAAAAUUUUUAAUUCCGGAUGAGUCUCUCAGCUUACUUGAUUCACAUUUAUUUUCAAAAAGGGCAAUUUUGUAAAAUAACCUAUUUGAGCAUCUUUUCUUUUCAUCUGUUUUCAACUCCCAAACAAAAGAAAAACCACUUACCUUCUUUUCUUUUUUAAAACUCCCAAACAACUUAGAUAGAAACUUAAAUCCUUUCCCACCCUUUCUUUUCUAACUAACCCUUUCUCUUCUUUUUAUUCUAAACUCCCAAACUAGCUAUAAGCCAUUUCACUCCUGUGUAAAAUGGCAAGGACUUGUCUCAAAACCCAAUUUAGCUAGUAGAUCAUGAUGUCUGUGGUUCGAUUGUCCGGGCUUCCUUUCUCACUUCGCUUUUGUAAAGUUUGGAGUCUCUUGCUGAUUAAAAAAAAAAAAAAAAAAAAGGAAAGAAAAAUGACAAGAACUUCCCAUGCAAUCUAUUAUUGGGGGUAACUUCGCUUUGCUAACUCACAUACAUGUUCUACACGUCUCAAAAAUGGGAUAAUUUAGCAAUUGCAUAUGAAACAAAUUAGUCUAAAUUUCGAUAGGAUGUUCCAAUUAUUACAGACAUAGAACAGAAAAAGGGUAAUUUGUAGUCAAAGAUUGCACAUUACAAGCUCAAGCCGCAGCAGCAAUGUAAUGUAAUGGGGACUUUUUAAGAAAUCGGAAUUAAGGAUGCAAAGUGUGACAAGUGCUAAAAUUUGAGAGUAUAUAUGCAUGAAAUUAAUGCACCUCCAAGUAAACCGAUUUAAUUAAAUGCUUAUAAUCCUUUCAAAUGACAACUGAAGUGGUUAAACUGGCAUCAAUAAAAACAAUUUUAGCAUUUUAUUUACUCUUUUUAGAAAAUAAUGAGCUAUACAAACUUCAUUAUCUGCCCUUUUCUUUCUCAUGUGUACUAAUAAUGUACAUUCCUAGAAGAAGAUUCGAAAGUCCAGUAAAACGCAUAAGGACUAAUGUGUGGAGACUAAAUUGCGAUUCAAAUUGCUAUUACCCUCAAACUGGCUAAAUGAAACUAUUCAAGGGUUUUUGUGUUUCACCCCUAAAGUUUUCAUCAACAUCGCUUUGCAGCCUUUGUGUUUGUGAACUGUGCCUUUUUUGUUUGUUUGUUUUUUUUUUUUUUUGUUCUGGUCUAACACAACCUUACAUUGAAUUUUGUAUUUUGUUUAUUUGUUUGGUACAAGGGAGAUUUAGCAUAGAGUGAUAGUCGCAUUCAUUAAUCCAUGCCAAUGAUUACUUCUGUGAGAUUGGGACAGGCAUUAAAAACUCAUAGUUACAAUUGUCUCAAUCAAAAAUCAUUACUAACCCUGUACUAUUCUAUUCCCAAUUUUUGCAGACGUUGCUAGCUCUUCUCAAUACUUGCUUUGGGAAGAACAUGAGAAAAUUUAUUCAUAGUUUUGAGCAUUCAUGUAGAGAUCAUUUUGCAUUGAAUUCUCAGGGGUUAAAGGGAUAUACACAGUAGCGGUGUUAAAGCUCCAUGAGUAAGGGGUCAAUAGUCACUUGGAUCAAUAACAUGUAGUUUACGUUUCAAUUCAAUUAUUGGUUCACAGAAGAAAAUUAGUAUAAUGCAGUUGUUGUUCUAAAAUUUUGAAUCCUUGUCCGUUCAAGUGGUAUUUAUUACUUUUUCAAAUACGAUGGUGGAAAAUUUUAUAUUUUUAGAAAGAGAGUAAAGGGAAAUUUUUCCCAUAAUUUAAUUAAGGGUUGAAAAAUUAUGAAAAUUUGAGGGGGUUGGGGGCAAUUUGUCUGCCUCAGUAGCCUGGCUCUGCCCCUCCAUAUGCACAGUAAUCUAUGUGAUCAAUCAACAUUGAUCAAACAUUAGAAAGAAAUAUGAACAAUAAUUGCACUUGUUCAACUGUUGGUAUUGGUACAAAAUCAGGAACGACAAUCUUACAUAAUCUUUUUUAGCCAGAAACAUAGCUUGGAAUACAUUCCUGGAUCAGGAAAUGUAAGUGUUGUGGAAACAAAUACAGAACAUAAAUAAUGACAAUAGGUAGAAUAAAAUGCAGGAUGAAAGAUUCAGUAACAAAAGGCUCUGAGCUUUAGAUCUGCAUGAGCUCUUCAAACGUUUUCAUUGCAGCAGCUGGCAACCCCAGAAGCACAUUGAUGCUUUUCCUUUCUCUUCCAUGAGACAGAAACAGGCUUACUUCCUUCUCUGGAAGGGCUACAGGCCCUGAUAAAACAGGUUCCCCCCAUCCAAAAUCAGUAGUAUGGAAAGAUAGCCUAGACCAGGUUGUGAUGAGAAGCGUUGCAGUCAAAGAAGGCCUUACUCUAGUUGCUUCGAAGUAGUCUAUAGCAGAUCUCAUAUAACUGUCUGUGACAAUUUGGACUGAUUCUUGGACUAGCUUCACUGCAAAUGAAAGUGGAUUCCCGACUAGCUCACCCGCGCUGCAAAAUGAAUUUGUAAGCACAAUUCCAUUGCCAAAGUAGCCUUCUGGAAUUGGGGGAUCAAAUCUUGAUCUUCCAUCAACUGCAAAGAGAAGUUUUGUCUUUUGAUCAGGCUUCAUCUUCAGGCCUGGCUACGAGAUCGCCAUAUGAAUGCUGACAGGGCUUCAAAUGUGGUGCAUUUGGCCAGAGCUCCAUCUUCCAAAGCUUUCCUUUUGAGCUUUUCGAGUUUUUCUGGGUCAAAACAGAAUGACCUGUAGUGCAUUUCCUCCUUGUAUAGUUCAGCAGUAUUUGAUGUGUCAUCAAUUUCAGCGAAUUCAUGAUGGGGAAAUUCUAUCUUGGGAGGAUUUCGGGCUUUGAGUAUGGUUCUGUCCAUAAAUGGAGGCACUUUUAAAGGCAGUCCUCUGGCAACUUCACCCCAGGAGUUGACAAAUUCCAUUGCACCAAUCCCAUCAAACAUGCAGUGGUUCAUGCACAGCCCAAGAACAAAUCCUCCACACUUGAACUUUAGUCACCUGUAGAGCAAAAUCAGUUAUCACUCAAAGACCUUAAAUUUCCAGGGUAAAGGAACAAUAAACAGCAGGGCAAGCCAUACCACGUAAGAUUGCACUAUUGCAAUAAUUUCUGUUAUGAAAGCUCUACCGAACUUUCAAGGAUAAAUGUAAAUUCAGAUGCUCCACUUCUUUUCUUGAUCAUGUAAUAUACAUGUGACAUUGCAAAAGCCUAAUUCCUGAAUCAAAAUCUUUUCCUCUUUUUUAUUCGCGGCCUUUUUCUUUAACCACAGAGAUUUGCUUAUAUUUUAGUUAUUCAAAGAUGUAAGUUUGCUGGAGCUAAUACUCGAAAUAGAAGUUAAAGACAUGUUGAACCUGAGCAGCCAAAGGAGGAAUCUCCAGUACGUUUUUCGCCCCUGGAACAUCAUAAACCAGCUUUCCGAGAGUAACAGGAUCAGGCUUUGUGUUGUCGCCGAUGUCUUCAAUGGUGCAAUCUGCUUCAGCCUCAACAAAGACAGCCCCUUCUCCGGUACAAUCCACUAUCAGCUUUCCCUCAGGACUAAUGGUUAAACGCCCUGCAAGAGGGUGGUACUGAACAAGAACCUUUGAAAAGCAUCCUUGAUCAUCCUUACAGCUUCCUCAUUGCCCUUUUCCCCUGAUUUAAAGCAGUAAAUUGUACGAACAAUCACCGCAAUGUUCUGAUCAAGAUUUGAGAGGAAAUACAGGCCCUUCUGUGUUUCUUCAGCUGGAGGGAUCAAAGUCGGUUGUCCCUGCUUGACGGUGAGCUCAAAUGUGUUGCUCUUACCAUUCUCCAUUGCUAAAAUUGUUCAAAUGACACAAUCCUGAGUCAAAACACCAUGUUAGUGAAAUUCAAAGAGAUGAAAUUUGUGUGUUUCGAGUGUUUCAUUCAUGCAAAUUGCAUCAGUGGAGAUAAAAUCUCAUGACUUGUUUAAAAACUAGUAAAGACGGUCGAGAAAAAAACAUGUUCAGAUAUUUUACCUUCAAUAAGCACUCACUAGUAAAGAGAGCUUUUCUAUCUGUUGGCUGUGCUAAACUGAGAAUAUCAUGUUUUGGGGAAAGGGAUUCAAGGAAUAUAUAGGAAGACAAUUGCUUGCAAAAUUUGAAGAUUGUUAAGUUUUGGUUAACAAAGAUGGUCCAAUGAAAAUGACUAGUACUUUAUGAUUGGCAAAUUUAAUUGCUUAGAUUCUUCUUGUAGACUUCUAGGAGAAAGAGAUAUUAGACUAAUAUAUAUCUUUUGCUUUGUGUUUGGGGGCGGGGGGGGGGGGGGCGGGGGGGAGGGGGGGGUUGUUAACAUUGCCUAUUAAUUCUUAUGUACGUAAUCCCAUUGUACUUUUGAUUUUAGUAAAUUUUGUUUUGGUCAUUUGGUGAGGACAAAUUCUAUAUACUCAUAUUGGUAUGGUUAGGCUACUAGCCAUGGAACAAAAUUUUAGUAACAGUCAAGAGAACAUGGCGUAGUAGAGAAGAUCCUGUGGGGUUGGUUGGUAGGGUUGGCGUCCAAAUUUUGAUUACUUGAUGCAUCUAAAAUUUGAUGCAGCAAAAUGCCACGCUACCCCAGAUAAUCACUUUAUUCCUAGUCACUUCACUUAUAUAUAUAGCAUAACAACAAGAAAAGCAGAUUAUGAUCAAAUCUCCACAACAUUAUGGUUUUGUAAUUAAGUUGGCACUUUUUUGGCCUGGAUUGAUGGCAAUUCACCCCUACAUUACUCAAGGAUCAAAAAGUGUUUUGGGUUUCUUGAGGGUUAUGCUCUGUUGAAAACAGCCAAGGAGAACAUGUUACAGCAUCAAGGCAUUAUUAGCUAAUGUUGGGAUUUUUAUUAUUUUCCCUUUUCCUUAUUUUCUCCUAAAAUCUCUUCCUCUCCAUUACAAGUCCUUUUCUUUUUUCUUCUUUCAUCUCACUCUCUUCCUCAUCUUUCUCAAUACAUUUCAUGCUAAGUUACAUAUAUCUUCUUUUCAUGUAUGACCUAAAUUAGAGGAAUUAUUUUCUUAUGUAUGUUGAAAAGAGGAAAAGAAGACCACAGUUCUGCAUGGGUUUACCUCUAACUUUCUGUUAGGAUGAUUAGUUAGUUAAUGGUGUGUAAGCACAGCCCUUUUUGAUCUUUUAAUCUCUGAUAAGUUGACAAUUAGAUUGAGCAAGUUGCUAUAUGGAAAUUCUGAAAAAGAUAGAUUAUGUAAGAACAAUAAUAAUAAUGAUUUGAAAGCCAUAGCUGAAAGUAAAAAAAAACCCAUAUAUCUCUGUGCGUUGAUAUUGUAGCCUAACAAACUCAAACAAAAACUUUUAAAUCUUAGAUUAGAACAGAAUAGCAAACUUAAGAACUUGAUAUAUGAGUUUGGUUUAGUUGGUGCACACCCUACCCUCAUCCAGAACGACUGCACUUACCUAACUUAAUCACAAGGUUUUUGUUCAUUAUUGCAAAAAAAAAAAAAAAAUUUUUUUUGGGUUUAUCAUUGCAAAUUUGGUAACGUUGAGGGACAAAAAAAUUUACUUUCAAAUUUUAUUUAUUGCUUGAAUUAGGGGAAAUAAAAGACUUUUUGCUCACUUACAUUAGCUUAGUAGCACUGCCAAAAAAUAAUUCCUAAUUAUGCCAAAGCUAUGUUUUGAGUAAUAAUCACGAAAUUAGUCAAUAUCUGAGCAAUAUUUCAGGGCAAAAAUCCAGUGCUAUUGGAUUGGCUUUCUUCUUUCUUCUUCGUCUUCUUCCUCUUCCUCUUCCUCUUUCUUCCCUUUUUUUUUUCCCUAUUGAUAGCUAUAAUUGGGAGAAAUAGUCCCAAAUUGUGAUCUCAGAUUCUGACGCAUAUUCUCACUUCUGAAUUCAACAACAUUUCGGCUUUAUCUGAGACUAUAUUAUGCAGACAAGACAAUUUUGCUUCUUCCCUUGCUUUCCUGUUGAUAGCUAUGAUUGUGAGAAAUAGUCCCAAAUGGUGAUAUCAGAUUCUGACGCAUAUUCUCACUUCUGAAUUCAACAUUUCGACCUUAUCUGAGACUAUAUAUUAUGCAGAAAGACAAUUUUGAGAUUGCAAUAAAUUUGUCAUUCGAUUAGUGUUUGGAUUGGAUUUUUCUACCAAAAAAUUUUUAUGUUUUCCACGAACACGUUUCUAAUCACUUUUGAUCUCACAUAUAUCAAAUCGUUACAAUAUAUUUUUCUAAAGCUGCAGAAAAUAUCAAUCCAAACAUUUUUCAGAACCAUCCAACAUUUUUAAGAUAAACUUAAACCAUACAUGCUGUGCAAGGAAUCAAGGACAGCAGCACCAGUGGAAACAUCAGGUCAAGGAUAUACAUAUGAUCAGACACACCGACUAUGACGUUAAAAUGCAGCCAAAACCCACCAGAGACAGAAAUCCCUUUUAUUCUCUUAUCAAGAAGAACUAAUUAAGAACAAAACUGUCAUAGUUAUCAGAUAACAAGUGAGACAGAAGAUCUAUGCAUCUGAUAGAUAUGAUACUCAUCAAUUUGGAAUUAACAGACAUUGAUGAAAUGAUUUUUAACGCCAACCACCUAUGAUAGAUUAGUAAAAUCCCACUUAUGAGAGAUGGAUUUCAUCAUGGAUUUGAUAUUCUUUUCCUUUAACUACGAGUAGUCUGCGUUUAUUUAAUGGAAUCAUGUGCGUUCCUGUGAAAUUGCUAGAUUAAUAUAUACAAUUAUCUAUAGAGGAAAUUUUUAGGAACACAAAAGGUGUCAUUUCAGCUCGUGCUUUAGAUAUUGUUUACAUUUGAUUUUACAACCCUUUUUUUUCUCUUUUACAUUACAGCAAGGUUAUUUAAUUUUUUUUUUUUUUUUGUUUUAUCAAGCGAUAGCACGGUUAUUUUACCUACUCGAAGGAUUUAGGUAUUUGCUUGACACAAUCAUAUCCGAAAAUUUACUGUACUUUUUUUUUAAUUGUGGAGGAAUGUAGUUUAUUCUAUUUUUACAAUGAUUCCACUAAGUAAACUAGAAAUAGGAUAGCAACUUGACAACGACGCUAUUUCCAAAGCAAGCAAGAAGAAUGCUUCCAGGAGCAAGCAUCUUGUUAAUAACUGAAAAACCAAAAUUACUACUACAAGCAAAAGUAAAAGAGUUGCACAAAUUACAGGCUUAAUGGCUUGCAGCGCAUCAAUAUCAAAAUGAAAACUCAAGACAUUGAAGAUAAGUAAAAGACCGUACUUUCAAAUCCACCCUUCUCACUGUAAAAUGUCUCAUCUAUGUGUCAAAGAACAGUAUAAAAAUUACAAAUCUAAGUUCACUGAACCCACUUCUGGAAAAUUUCCUAGGUGUUUUACAGAGUUUAACAUCAAAUAAAUACAACUACAUCAAUUUCAUGCUCAAGCUAUAAGCUAAAGAUAGGAAGGGGAUUAGAAUGUAAAAAAUCCCUAAUGGUGAGAUUUCAUCCAAAGUACAGACACACAGUUAAAUGUUAUAUGAUACAGGUGACCUAUUCCGCCUUCAUCUGUAAGAAGUUUGACAGAAGGAAAUGAUACCGCAGUUGCAGUUGUGCUGCACACCCCCAUCUGAUAAAAGUCCCUUGUACAACGCUUCUCAUCAUCAUACUGAACAACUAAUUCAAACUGAUACAUUCCUCAUCCACGGCAUAUGCUUGGAUUUUAAAUUUAAGCAUCAUUGUCAUCAUCCUCAUCUUUCUCAUGAUUACUCCCAGCCUCAGCUUCCUCAUCAUCUUCCUCAUCUUCCUCGUCGGUCAUGUUAUUUAUAACCUCAGUAAUUAUAGCCUUAACUUCAGACUUUCGGUGCAUUAGAUCCACUCCAAAGUGGGUUCCUGAAGGCAAUAAAGUCAACCAACUUAGCAACCACAAGUGUAACUUAAAGAGUCGAAUCAUAUGAUUCCAUUAAAAACAUACCAAGUUGCCUGAGAAUAUCAGAUAAGGUUGCCUGCAAUUAAGUAAGUACAAAGAUUAAUAAUAGACUCCACGCUGUCAGAAAUAAUUAUGCUCCAUAGAGAACAACAGAGACCACUUACAGUGUUAAAAUCCACUUCCUUCAAAAUGGCAACUACUACUUUAUGCAUUUCCUCAUUGCUGGGUUCUGCCUUAGCCUUCUUGUCACUCUUUGAUUUCCCUGAAAGUCUCAAAGCAAGUUAUAACAUGUUCACAGCAUACCAAUGGACGUGACGUUCUUUCGGAAAAGUGAACAAUCAUGCAGCAAAUAUUUGCAACAAAUAUGCCCAGAUGCAAUUACGCCACACAAUGCAUGCAUCUUGGAACUUUCAAAAAAUUGAGUGAAUUUUACAACCAAUCUCAUAUAAGGUCAUUACUCUUAUGAACUAACAUCAAUAACAUACUAACCAGUAGUCAAGCAUAAACGCUAGUAGUCCAAAAUCAAGGACAGAAUCCUCAAACAUUCCGAAGCCAUACAGUGCAAUGCAUGGGUGCAGUAAAAUGAUAAUGAUGAAUGGCAAUAAAACUGAACUAUGCUAUCAGUAUUUGAAUAAGAUUUUGGAUCAAACUAUAUUAAACAAUAAACAACACACCUUGAUCUUUUCCUGAACCCUUUGCCGAAGAGUUGCUUGACUGCUUAAUACUUGAAGCUUUUUCUUUCCCAGAAGCAUCACGUACUUUCUCGCUCUCCUUUUCAACCUUCUGUUUCUUAGAAGAUGAAACUUUGGACUUCUCCUUUGAGUCAGAUUCAGUAGCAACUUUCUUAGAUCCUGAACUGACUGUUUUUUGGCACUUUUACCAGAGGUUUUGGGAGAUUUGGCUGGGCUCUCUUUCUUCACUGCCUUAGACUUCUCCCUGCUAUUACCACCAGAUUCCUUCUUCACACUCUUCUUAGAAGCACUUUUCUCACUUGGCUUCUGCUUGGGUUCCUCAUGAUCUUCUUCAACAUCUUCAUCUGACUUGCUCUGCUCAUUAUCACU
rnacentral:lncRNA from 1 species